rnacentral:rRNA from 1 species
GAUGAACGCUAGCGGCAGGCUUAAUACAUGCAAGUCGAGGGGCAGCAUGAAUGUAGCAAUACAUUUGAUGGCGACCGGCAAACGGGUGCGGAACACGUACACAACCUUCCUAUAAGUGGGGAAUAGCCCAGAGAAAUUUGGAUUAAUACCCCGUAACAUAAUGAUGUGGCAUCACAUUAUUAUUAUAGCUACGGCGCUUAUUGAUGGGUGUGCGGGUGGUUAGGUAGUUGGCGGGGUAACGGCCCACCAAGUCUACGAUCAGUAGCUGAUGUGAGGGCAUGAUCAGCCACACGGGCACUGAGACACGGGCCCGACUCCUACGGGAGGCAGCAGUAAGGAAUAUUGGUCAAUGGACGCAAGUCUGAACCAGCCAUGCCGCGUGAAGGAUUAAGGUCCUCUGGAUUGUAAACUUCUUUUAUCCGGGACGAAAAAAGGCUAUUCUUAGUCACUUGACGGUACCAGAUGAAUAAGCACCGGCUAACUCCGUGCCAGCAGCCGCCGUAA